rnacentral:lncRNA from 10 species
GUCUGUCGGCCACGUUACGAUUUCCAAUUUGCGAUCCAUCAGUUACUUCCAUUGGGUCUUCAGCCCCCAGGGACUGUGGAUCCUAGACCCCGCGGAGAAGCCCGUGGACUGGAGCUGUGUCAGCUCUGAUGAAUUUACACUCAUUGGAAUAAUAAAAUAGAAGUAAGCAACCGUGCAUUAAAAAGCUAUGAAAAGAUGAAGAGAAUAUGCCUUCAAAUGGGAAGGAAUACUUAACUGUGAAUAAGACCUAGUUCAACAUGGAACUUCCUGGUGGCCAAGUCAGAAGAGAAGCACAGAACAAAAACGGAGGCACAGAGAGGUCAAUUGAUUGGUCUAAUGACACAGAUCUAGCAAGUGGUGGAACCAGGACUGAAUCCAGAGGGUUUAUCAAUUGUGUUGAUCUUUUCAAAAAGCAAACUAUCGGAUAUUGGGGGAAGAUGGCAGAUAGGAAACAAGGCUAACGUGCAGCUCCCACAUGAAUGGUCACAACAGUGUGUGCAGACUCACACUGUGAACUUUUCUCCAAGGAUCACUGCAGGAACAUACCAGGAAAACUGAAAGAAUUCACACUUUGAAAGAAGCAGCAUGCCACUGCAAAUUCCAUGAAACAG